GUCACGUCCGGUCCCCUCGGGCCGCGGUCGCUCAGCCUAACGCCUCCACUUGAACGUCGGGCAGCCUGGUGUGCUUCUGUCGUGGGCUCUGUGGGCAGCCGAAGAGUCGAGGAGUCCUGUUUCAAUGGCUGCGUUCCCCCGGCUACCGAGUGAGCAGCACUUCACUCAGGGUUGGGCUGCCCAGGCAGAGGUGCCAGUUUCCUAACGGCCCGAGGGAGUUCCUAAGUGCCCAACUGCGGCCUUAGGCCGUGUAGUACAGGCCUAUAGUCUCAGCCAUUUGGAAGAUCAAAGCAGGAAGAUUACAAGGUCUGCCUGGGAGUGAAAGCUCCUGAUUAACAGAUGCUGGGAUCUCAGAUUCACAGUGGGUCACACUUGCCAACAUAGUCACAUGAUCUCUCUCUGCAGCCACUGGAAACUGAGUUAAAGAGUUGCCAGAGAGAAAAGCAAUACUCCAAGGGACCACCAGUCAGCAGUGUGGUUGUAAGGCCCACCACUCAGGACCUCUGGGGCUGUGGCAUGAAAGAGGUACCACUCAUCCUAGGGCUAAGGAAGGAAAAGCCAUACCUCGUUCAUCCAGCAGGAUAUUCUCCAUCUGAAAUCAUGGGAACCCAAAUCAACUGUCUCUGCUUCCUACUGCCUUCUCAAACCUGUUGAAAUUUCUGGAGAUUCUUGCUCAACUGAAGAAGACUUAACUCUACCUUUACAUCACGAUGGAUGAUACCCAAGUCAUGGAGAUAGCCUGUGGAGAACAGUAAGCAUGGUACAAGGACCAGUUCAGCUGCAAAGAGACGGAUAGAAUCCUCUGGAAAACAACCAACAGCAGACCACAGGGAGUAGAGAUCCAUGCUGCAGUAGCUACACACUGCAAAGCACCAGAAGUCUAGGCAAUCCUUGAGGUCUGUACUAUAAUGCCUGGGCUCAAGGCAUUAUGGACCUCCUGCCCAAACUAAUGCCACCAUCUGUUUCCCUCUUUUGGAAUAUAGAAAUGCUAUGAGGAGUGGAGCCAAAACAAAGGCAGAAUAAUGUCAGGUGGGAAGGGCAGUACAUGGACCUUUGGAGAUGAAGACAAAGCCCAGUCACUCACUAAUAAAGAGGUGUCGUUUCCCCUGCCAGCUGUCCCCCAAACUGUGUACAAAAGGAUGGCUGAUCUGUCGCUAGGGACAAAGAAAACAAAAGUUAGGAAAGAACAAGCUUUUUGAUGAUAAAGGGGGCCAAGAAAUCACGUUGCCUUGUGUAGAAAUGAACUGCUGCUUCAUCUUCUGAUUCAGAAAUCAUUUGGGAUGCUCUCCUGGAAAACCCUGGAGCCAGCACAUUGCUUAGGAGCACACUAAGAUAUGUUGUAGAGUUCCCUCGAAGAACUUGGAGUGUGUCCACAGCUAAUAACUACUUUUCUCAGGAUUGACUUUGGUGCUAUACUACACCAGGAUGGAAACAUACAGGGAAGGUAGACCCAAGAAAGCAGGUAAUUUGCGAAAUGACCUUCUGACUCCAGAACUCCUGGUCAAGCCCUGUGCUACACCCUUCCCAGAGCCUAGUGGUGCUGCGUCAUCUGUCGCUAUCAGCUGCCGAGGCUUCACCACAGGUAUUCCUAUGAAAAAGCAUGCAAACCAGCAGUGACUUCCUGAAGCUGCUUUAGACUGCCACUUCAUUUUCCUGGCAUUCUAGCAUAACCAAUCCUUACCAGUAGUCACCAGUUUGGACUUAUCCUCUUCAUCACCGACUUCAUCAUCUUCCACAUUUCGACCAGGAAAGAAAAAGCCCAUCAUUCUAUGGAAGAACCGGUGGGACAGCUGGAUGGUGAGAGGCACCACAUUUACCUAAGAGGGAAAGAGGCGAAGAAGCAAUUAAGCUCAAGUACUAUCAUUGUCUUUUAUUACUAACUAAUAUAACAGUUAUAGUUAGUUUUGAACUAACCUUCAAUCAUGGGUUCCCAAGGUACUGUUUACUAACCUCAAAGUGUUCCUUAACAGAGAUACCACCAACAGGUGGUCGGACUUUGCUGAAGAGGCGGAGGGCUAGCUGUCUCCCAGACUGGCAGGAACUCUGGGGCCGUAGAACCACCUAUAGUACAGAGCAGCCAAUAACUCUACUAUACAUCUCCAAAAAAAAAUAAAAACCAACUUAAAAGUAAACCACAAAUCUUCUGUAGAAGGAGAACUGAAGUAAUGGUCUUUGCUAAGCUAGGCAAGCUGUACCAUCUCAGAUCACAAUGCCCUUUGGUCAGAAGCAAAGAUAAGUGAGCUAGGAAUGGGAAAAUAAGUCUUGCCAUAUAAACGUGGGGAUGUAAAUAGCAGAGUGCUUAUCAUGUACAAGGCCCUGGCUAAAUCCCAUUCUCCCACACCCCAAGAAAAGACUUGCCUUAUAAAUAGCAUUAGGGAGAAGGUUGUUCAUAGUGAACCAGCCUAACUCCAGGAGAUGUUCUGCUGUAUCAUCAGACUUAUUCACCUGUAAGACAGAUUGUGUUCUGUUCAUUAUAAGCUAAUAAGCUAAGCCUCUGAUUUCAUUUUUCCCUUUCCUUUGUAAAUCAGGAUCUCAUAAAGUCCAGGCUAGCCCUCAAA